ensembl:lncRNA LMCD1-AS1 LMCD1 antisense RNA 1
GAGCGCCGGCUGCCCUGACGUCAGCAUGGCCGCGGCCCCUGACUACCCAGCUCCCUUCUAUCCCUCGAGCGGCAGGAAUCCGUCCCCACGCCCUUUUCCUUUAAAGGGCAACGGGCCGAAGGUGGGGCGGGCGGCGCGGCUCCCGCGAUCCAUUCAGGUCAAAAGGGAGAGUGAUCAAACAGGAGAGCCGAGGGGACCUAUAUUCAGAGACUUAACCGGACACCUGGACAGACCAUUACAACUUGGGACUUUUCAGGAGAAUGAGGGAAAUGUAGUUAUUGCACCUGAGCCUCACUCCAGCUCUGAGGUCCUCUUCACUUCUCUUUGGAAGAAAAUUGGAUAUCUUUUCCUAGUUGAAAGAGUAGAGAUCUGAUUUCUCCAAGGAUCAUCGCUUUUUGACACGGGAUUAUUAGAAGCAUUCAUUCAUCUAUCAAGGAGUUUUGGGAUACUUGCCAUAAGCCAAGCCCUCUGAUAGGUGCUGGAAACAUCAAGGUAAAUAAAAGAGUUCUUCUCCUUGGAGAACAUAUUGGUCUAAUAACUACUUCUGGGGCUCCCUGGUUGACAGAGCCCUAAUCUUACUUGAACUCCAAGACAACUAGUCUCAGAGAAAACAGAAAUCCCAAACAGUCCCAGGGCUGUAUCAAAGGUCAUACAGCUGGCAAGUGGCAGAGCUGAAAUUUAAAUUCAGAGUUUUUAACUUCAGAUUGCACCCUUUCACCUAUACUGCACUGCUUCCAUAAUGAUUGCAGAUGGUUGAUUAUAAGCAAAACAGGAAGCACUUGGAUUAAGAUGCUGCUGUUGUUGUCAUCAUUAUCACUGGGCUUGUCCUAACUGGGAUUUUUGACUCUGAGUCUCGUAUUCUUUUUACCAUUCAUGAACAAAUUAAUUAAAGAAACAAAUAUUGAAUUGGGAAAUACUAUGGAUUAGGCCCUGAGCUGAGGAUGCAACAGUGAAUAAGACAGGAAAUGUCCCUCCCCUCAUAUAGCUUCUAUUCUAAUGUGUGUAGGGGAGACAGGCAUUAAACAAGUGGAUAGAUAUUUAGAUAAGGUAAUUAAGGAUGGCAGUGAGUGCCUAGGAGGAAAUAAAUGGAGAAAUUCAUUGGACACAGUCAUUUUAGAUUAGGGGGUCCAGGAAGGUCUGGCUGAGCAGGUGGUGUGUGAACUAAGCCCCAGUGAAGGAGAAUGAGUCAGCUGUGAGUACAGUCCCCAUGGAGAGAACAUUCCAGGAGGAUGGGGUCAUGAGAGCAGAGACCCUGAGAUGAGUGCGAGUGUGGCAUGUCUGAGGGAUCAUGAGGUCAGUGUAGUGGGUCAGGGAGAAUGGUAUGAGGAGCCUCAGGUGAGGCAUGCAGGAGCUGGCUCAUGUGGGCCCCAUAAACCAUGCUAAGGAGUUUAUGUUCUCUCCUGGAAAUGGCAGGAGGUUAGACAUCAGUGCUUUCCCACUGGAACACAAUGCAGGCCAUGUAUGUAAUUUAACAAUUUCUAAUAGUCAUAUUUAAAAAAAAUCAAAAAGAAAAAGGUGAAAUAGCUAUUAUAUAUUUUAUUAAACUCAAUAUAACUAAAAUGUCAUUCCCACCUGUGAUUAAUAUAAAAAUUAUUGCGAUGGUUUACACUCUUUUUUAUGUGUGUGCUUCAUUUUGAAAUCUGGUGUGUGUUUUACCCUUACAGCACAUCUCUCUUCAGAUUAGCCAUGUCACAAAUACUCAAUAAGCACAUCUGGCUGGUGGCUACCAUCUAGCUACCAUCAACCACAUCUGGCUGGUGGCUACCAUAUUGAGCAGAGCAGUUAUAGAGAGUCUUAAGCAGGGGAAUGACAAUGUCUGAUUUACUGUGUUACUCACAGCAAGGACACCAAAAGUACUAAUGGAAAGCUAUCAGUAACUCGCAACGUCUCACUCUCAGGUGGAGAAGCUGAGCAAUUAGAAGCUGGUAAUUGAUUGGUGCAGUGUGGUCUACUAUGUGUUCUAAAUACUGCAUUGGGAGGCACAAGUGAUUUUCUCAGAGUCACAAAGCUAGAAAGGGGCAGAACUAGAAAGACCUUGAACCCAGUUCUUUUGGUUUCAUGCCAACACCUUCAUAAAUCCCCAAUAAUCAUGGCUCACAAUGAUGUUUUCACUGUUACAAUGUAGCAAGCAGGGCCCAAGUUAUUUCAAUGUGAAAACAUGAAUAAUAUGUUGUUUGUAUCAUUAAAUAGUACACUAGUUAAAUUAA